UUGGAAAGCGUAAAUAACGUUAAUCACGUGGGUAAACUGCGCAGGCACAUCACGCUCCCGGCAUGCCCGCAGCAGCGCUUACAGAGGAGGCAGCCAUCCUGCCCUGGAGUAGGUUCUUCGUGCUGUCUGCUCAUGGGCUGCUGAGCCAGAAGAGGAUUCUCCUGGCAACCCCAGCCACAGGCUGUGCCUGCCCAACUGCCCACCGCAGGUUGCAGCUCAGGUAUUCACACCAACUGCCUGAGCAGGUGGCAUCACCUCCAGACACCCUGUGAGGGCCUCUGCAUUUAAUAACAGCAACUUGAAACAACUACCAAGGUGGCAAAGAAGCCAGCCUAAGGCAUGUGCCCAUUUCGCCAGCCUCCUUCAGGGCCAUUCAUCCUGCCCCAUCAUUCACGUCCUCCUUGCCCCCAAACACACUGGCCUUUGUGUAGAUUCUUGAGUCUGUCAUAUCCCUCCUGCCUCAGGACCUGUGGGCCAGCUUUUCUCCGAGACUGGCUCAGCCCCUCGCUAGUUCAUAUCACUCUCUGAGAGCAGUGUUCUCUUUCUACUGCCACUCUUCUUCACCCCAGACCGUGCCAGGUCCUUCCAUCUUAAGCUCUCAUAACAGUGUAUCUUCCCGUCAUAGCUCUAACACAGUGCUUAACUACAUGCUGUAUUUUUAGAAUCAUGUCAUUAAGGUAC
rnacentral:lncRNA from 1 species